rnacentral:lncRNA from 1 species
AGAGAAGGGAAGGGAUUUAGGAAAAGGGAGGGCCCUGGGAUCCUAUAAAAUGCCCCAGCCCCCAGGCCACUUGGUUCUUGGGAUCUGUCACUUCACUUUGUCCAUGCGUUGGUCUUUGCAAUUUCCAGAAUUGCCCAUCCCACGGACCCUACAGAUAAUCAUCCCUCACCCUAUAGCUAUGGAGGCUCAACUAGGAUUCAAAGACUACCAUCCUUAUACAAGGAUUUGCAGACCUGCCCAAGGUUGAUAGAACUGACUGAAAAUCACGAUGAAGGGCUCUAGAUGGAUGGUACGCAGCAACCCCGUGGAAUGAGAUGAUCCCUGGCUGUGAUUAACACAACCAAGUCUCCCAGCCAGCCCAUUAUGUUUCUUUGGGGAUUAGUAAAAGUAAGGAGCCUGAUCUUUGGGGGACUGAUGGCCUUGAACCCAUAUAGCUAAUCAGAGCUACCCCACUCUCCAGGAAUUGGAGGAACCAGGGUAGGGUUCAUACUGCCCUUCUCAAACUAGGAGAUCUUGCCCACCAUCCUAGAGGAAAAAGGCACACUACUAGGGAGCUCUCACUCAUGCCCGCAAAUAUCCAGUUGAUCUUUUUGUCUAUAAAGCUUGGGCAUGACCUAUGAAAGAUUAAUACCCCUUACCCUAUAUUGAAAUAGAGACUGAGCAUCUGCCUUACCCAGAGCCAUGCAAUUGCUUCUUCUGCAGUCCCCUUUCCCUUGGAUAAGUCUUCACCCACUUCACCAGCUGUACAGCUUUUCAACAGACCGAAGAAAUUACAAUGUGGAGCCCGCACUGGUAUAGUAGCUAAUAGUCCGACAGAUUUACAUGGGACAUGUGGUGUAAGAGCCUCUAAUGGGCAUUUCUUCCCACAACUGACACCCCAGAGGCCACAGGAGACUUGCUUCAAUCCUGCAAACUUAGUGUUCGUCAGCUUCUUUACCUCUUAGACCCCUUUCUCCAAGGAAUAAGGAAUAAGUGCUACAUCGUUUGUUUUAAGCGAUAAUGCUACGGAAGAUAACGCUAGAUAUAGGAGCUGUGGGAGACUACAGCCCAGGGGCCUCACGGGCAUGAAAGGGGGGAAGCUGGGAGAUGGUGGGAGCCGAGCUGUGCAGAAUGUCAACUUGGAAUUGUAUCUCUCACUGUUUAGAAGGCUGCUGUGCCUUAAAGGUGAGCCCGCCUGAGCGUGGGCACUGCAUUUGCGGUGCCAGCAAAUGUCAGGCAGCAAAUUGUGACUUCCUUCGGGUGCAUGUGUGUGGGCAAUUACUUUUUAUUUAAAAGAAAAUAAAGCCAAAUGGAAAUGUA